rnacentral:rRNA from 1 species
GUAGUCAUAUGCUUGUCUCAAAGAUUAAGCCAUGCAUGUCUAAGUAUAAGCACUCAUACUGUGAAACUGCGAAUGGCUCAUUAAAUCAGUUAUCGUUUAUUUGAUAGUACCUUUACCUGGAUAACCGUGGUAAUUCUAGAGCUAAUACAUGCUUAAAACCCCGACUUCGGGAGGGUGUAUAUUUAUUAGAUAAAAAACCAAUGCCCUCUGGGCUCCUUGGUGAUUCAUAAUAACUUAACGAAUCGCAUGGCCUUGCCCCGGCGAUGGUUCAUUCAAAUUUCUGCCCUAUCAACUUUCGAAUGAAGGAAAGAGGCCUACAAUGGUCUUAACGGGUAACGGGGAAUUAGGGUUCCACUCCGGAGAGGGAGCCUGAGAAACGGCUACCACAUCCAAGGAAGGCAGCAGGCGCGCAAAUUACCCAAUGCUAAUUCAGCGAGGUAGUGACAAUAAAUACUGAUACGGGGCUCUUUCGGGUCUCGUAAUUGGAAUGAGUACAAUCUAAAUCCCUUAACGAGGAACAAUUGGAGGGCAAGUCUGGUGCCAGCAGCC